UAUCUCUUCUUAUUUUUUAGGGAACACUUAACAUUUUGGAAGAGGAGAACCACAUUAAAGAUGUUCUGUCUCGAAUUGUAGUAGAAAUGAUCAAACGAGAAUGGCCACAGCACUGGCCUGACAUGCUGAUGGAGUUGGACACUCUCUCUAGGCAAGGGGAGACACAAAGAGAAUUAGUGAUGUUCAUCCUUUUACGAUUGGCAGAGGAUGUAGUGACCUUUCAGACCCUUCCUUCUCAAAGAAGAAGGGAUAUUCAGCAAACCUUAACUCAGAACAUGGAAAGGAUCUUCAAUUUUCUACUUAACACACUUCAGGAAAAUGUAAACAAGUA